UACGGGGGGGGCAAGCGUUGUUCGGAAUUACUGGGCGUAAAGGGUUCGUAGGUGGCCUGCUAAGUCAGACGUGAAAUCCCUCAGCUUAACUGGGGAACUGCGUCUGAGACUGGGAGGCUUGAGUGCAGGAGAGGAACGCGGAAUUCCAGGUGUAGCGGUGAAAUGCGUAGAUAUCUGGAGGAACACCGGUGGCGAAGGCGGCGUUCUGGACUGCAACUGACACUGAUGAACGAAAGCCAGGGGAGCAAACGGG
rnacentral:rRNA from 1 species